GACGAACGCUGGCGGCGUGCCUAAUACAUGCAAGUAGGGCGCAGUUGGGAACGGGUGAGUAACGCGUAGGUAACUGCCUGUGAGCGAGGGCUAACUAUUGGAAACGAUAGCUAAUACCGCAUACUAGUAGAUGGACCUGCGUGGUGUUAGCUAGUAGGUAGGGUAAUGGCCUACCUAGGCGACGAUACAUAGCCGACUUGAGAGGGUGAUUGGCCACACGUGGACGUGUGCACGGCCCAGAAUUCCAAGGGAGGCAGCAGUAGGGAAUCUUUGGCAAUGGGGGGAACCCUGACCGAGGCACUCCGCGGGAGUGAAGAAGGUUUUCGGAUUGUAAAGCUAUGUUGUUAAGGAAGCGGUACUUAACCAGAAAGGGACGGCUAACUACGUGCCAGCAGCCGCGGUAAUUC
rnacentral:rRNA from 1 species